AGGAUUUACAGCCCCUUCAGCCGCAGGACAGUAGGGUUGGAAGGGACCUGCGAAUGGGUCGCCUCGUCCGGCCGCUGCAGCCAGGCUGCACGAACGCUGACAGACCCGUGUUAGGCGUCGCUGCCCCUACGAGCUGCCACUGUUCCUGGAGCGUCCGAGGUGACAGAGCGGGAAGGCGGCCCCGCUCCCGCCCGGCCCCACGCCCGGGCCCCUCCGCGCCCCGUGACGGCACCGCCGGGGCGGGGCCGGCGCCGCUUCCUGGGGCGGCGGGACCGGCCCGGGGAACGGGCAUGGGGGGCGCGGGGCCGCGGUGCGGGCCCGCGGGCCUGUGGGUGACGCUGGCCCUGGCCUGGGGCGCGGGGGCCGCGUUGGCCGCAGAGGGGCCGCCGGCGGGAGCGGCCGCGCCGGCGGAGCCGUGUGGGGCGGAGGGGUGGGCGCAGGACGCCGUCCCGCCGGGCGCGGCCUUCGUCGCCGCCGCGUCCUACCGCGGGCCCGGCAACAACGACACGCGGAGCAACAAGGCGCUGCCCAUCCUGCUGUGGUGGAGCGGGAGCCUCUUCCCGCACUUCCCCGGCGACACGGAGCGCAUCGACUGCCCGCGCGGGUCCUGCCUCGUCACCCGCAGCCGGCGGGUUGCCCGGCACCGCCGCACCAAGGCGCUCAUCUUCUACGGCACCGACUUCAGGGCGUACGAGGCGCCGCUGCCCCGCCUGCCCCACCAGACCUGGGCGCUCUUCCACGAGGAGUCCCCCAUGAACAACUACGUGCUCUCGCACCCGCCCGGCAUCCAGCUCUUCAACUACACGGCCACCUUCCGCCGCGAGUCCGACUACCCGCUGACGCUGCAGUGGCUGCCCGGCGCGGGGUACCUGCGGGGCCCGGCCGUGCCGCUGGCCGAGAAGGACGCCUGGCGGCGGAGGGGCUACGCGCCCGUGCUGUACAUGCAGUCCCACUGCGAUGUGCCCUCGGACAGGGACCGCUACGUGCGGGAGCUCAUGAAGUACAUCCAGGUUGACUCCUAUGGGAAAUGCCUGCAUAACCGUGAGCUUCCCAGUGAACGACUGAGAGACACUUCUACAGCCACAACAGAAGAUUCUGAGUUUAUGACUUUUAUCGCCAGGUACAAGUUUCAUCUGGCCUUGGAGAAUGCCAUAUGUGAGGACUACAUGACGGAGAAGCUGUGGCGUCCCAUGCACCUGGGGGCUGUCCCAGUGUACCGAGGCUCCCCAGCUGUGCGGGACUGGAUGCCAAACAACCUCUCCAUCAUUCUUAUAGAUGACUUUGACAGCCCCCAAGAGCUGGCAAAGUAUCUUGAUUUCCUGGACAAGAAUGGAGAGGAAUAUUUGAAGUAUCUAGAGUAUAAAAACGUUGGUGGAAUCAAAAACCAGUUCUUGCUAGAGAGCUUGCAGAGGCGGGAGUGGGGCGUGAAUGACAUGACUCUGCCCAAUUACCUGAAUGGCUUCGAGUGUUUCAUCUGUGACAGGGAGAACAUCCGGGUCAAAGAGGAGCAGGAACACAAAAAGUCUCGCGGGAAAAUUCCAGCUCCCAGACCUCGCAUAGCUCAGUUCAAGCACAUGGGAUGUCCCGUGCCAACCCCUGGGUUUGGAAGUGUGGAAGACCUCGCUGAAGGAGACAGUUGGAAAGAAAUGUGGCUGCAGGAUUAUUGGCAAAGCCUUGAUCAGGGUGAGGCCCUCACAGCUAUGAUUCAUCGCAAUGAGUCGCAUCAAGGAAGAUUUUGGGACUAUAUGCAUGAGAUUUUUCUCAAGAGGACAAGGCAACACUGACCCAUCUUUGUAAGAGCUUGAUUUGAAAAUUGCGUUGAAAGUUGAGACUGUGAAUUCUUACCUCGCUUCAAAUGUUUGCCUUGAAAUACAAAAAAAACCCUCUCACAGAGACAGUUUUUUCUCGUGCAAGAAGUGAGUUUCUGUUAUGAUUGGAUUCCAGCAGUGGAGACGUUAGCAACUGCUUUGCUUUGAUUUGAAUUUCAGCUCUCUGGUGUGAAGCUGCUUCUGACUUGCAGGUGUCAACAUGUGGGGCAAAAGAUCAGGGAUUUUUUUUUAAGUCUCCAGAAUAUUAAUUGUUUUUAUACGUAUUUUAUCAGUCACAUAUUCUCUUCAUUAAGAUGUACUUUUAGCUGCUAUUAACAAAUGGCUUUUCCAGUGAAGGAAUUACAAAAGACAAAUCUGUGGAGAGCAACUGUGCCUUACAAAAUUGCAGCAAUAAAGUCUCUUUGCCCCAAGAGUAACAGGAGGAAGUACCAAUAUAAGCAUGUGUAUCAUAGCAACUACUUAGUUCCUGAGGAGUGAUGUCCAAAGCCUCACUUUGCCGUCCUGCUCAGCAACAUGAGCAUGUUUCCAACUAAUAGCAUUGAAGAUGUGGUGGUACAAGCUGAAGAGUAGCUAGCAAACUAGUGCAGGUACUCGUAUUCAUAAAAACACACGAUUGAGACUAAUCAGGAAUUUUAGCAAAGAUGCCAAAUAUUGAGGAUGAUUAAGAGAUUGCUCCUGCAAACCCUUUGGUAGGCUCCUGCAAACUAGGGUGAGUGGCUUCACUGCUUAUCAUGCAUUUUGCCUGUUUACUGUGUGACUACAGGGAGGCUUUCAAAGCUGUCAGGAUAGCUUUAUUCAUUAGCAUUAAUGUUCUAAAAAUAGAUAUCUCAUUACUGCUCACAUGAAACACUGGUACAUUCUGUUGAUGCUGUGUCUCAGAAUUGAUUUGACAAGCUAGGAUAAGUUUAUGGCCUGUGAGAGGUGAGAGAGGAGAAAUAAAUGUCUGACAGAAGGUUAAAAAUCUAGCAGUCCAGUGCAUUGCAUUGGACAAGCUACAGCUCUCAUUCUUCUGCUAAAACUGUGAUACCUAGUGCUGCCUGUUUUUUCAGUAAGAAGCUGGGUAUUUUUUAUAAUGAAUUAGUAGUCUGUGUUUUCUGUCCUUUAGCAAGGACUUCAAUGUGUAGGAACCAUAUAACCUCACUGAAGUAUAGUGAUUUGAUUCCUAAUAUUGAUGAUUUCUAGAACUCAGAAAGAAUUGCCUUUUUUUAUUUCUGUCACUGUAGUAAUUUUUGAACUGAAAGAUCUCUGGGUCCCCUGUAAUGGUAAGUAGAAUGAGAACAAAGCAACAGUGUUGCUUUGCAAUAUGUUGCAAAGCAAUAUGUUUAGAGGGAAAGGAGAACGAGCUGCUUUCUCUGGAAAUGAUCUGCAGAAUGCAGCAGCUGGAGAAUCACAGCAGAAAUCCCCUCUUGCACCUUGGCAGAGGGUAGUUUUAACUGGUGUGGAAGAAAAGUAACUCCUAAAGGACUGGGAACAGGAUAAAUUGAAUUGAAACUCAGCCAUCAGGGACAUCUGUGUUUAAACAGGCUUUACUGUGUUAGACAAGCAGCCAUCUGCCUCUCUUCCUGACCUGCCAUACACACUCUUCAGCCAUUGUCCCAAGAGAGCCACUCCCUUAAUCAUUAGUUGUCAUCCCUUUGGUUAUAUUUAAUUAAGAUUAUUGAUGGAUCUCCAGGCACCUUCUGAGAAGUUGUAUUAAUUGGAAACAUACAGGGUGGCAGAUUCCAUCAUUCUGCCCAGAGACCUCUACUGACAGGCUGAUAUUAAUCAGAGACAAAAUCCUUUUAGUGAUAUGAGGAACUGAGCCAAAACCUGUCAGGCAUUAACAAAUUUUACCUUUCUUUGUGAUUCAUUGUCUCAGAGCUGGCAGUGAGAGAUAUAUGGCCCUGCAGAGGGAUUAGGAAGGGUGGAGAAGAAUGGAGCUGCAGGAUUUGUUCCAGAGCUCUGACACCACUGGCAUAUUAAUUUGUAUACUGUUAUAUACAUUCUGUCCUGCAGAAAAUACCCGUUUAAUGCACAAGUGUCUCAACUAGAGAUGUUUCUGGGGAUCUUGGAAUGGAUCAGAGCAGAUCAUGAUAGUUUCUGGCACCUCUGAGCAAAUAAGGAAGCAUCAGGUAAUUUGCUGGAAAUGGCUGGAUUUCGUAGAUCCUAGGAGUUAGGGAUUAGGGAUGGCAGUUCAAAACUACAGAGGUAGACACAACAAUGCAGGGCAGCUGCAGCUGAUCUGAUUGAGAGCUCAGGAUAAAGUAGGCUGGUGUUGGAAUUGGGGCGGGGCGUGACAUGUCAGAAAAGAAAUUGCAUCUGUCAUGGUGCUAGUGAAUGCAUUUGUGCUAAUAAGAACAUUAAGGGCUAAUAUUGUCCAAACCCGAUAACUCAGCAGACAGGAGUUAAGUCAAAACCACCUGGAAUCCCACCAAACGGGUUUGUUUCACUACUAAAGUGGAGGUGCUUUAAAUUUUAAGGCAUCUCCAAUUAAAUUGGGUUAAGAAGGUCAGGGUGAGACAGUCGAGAAUAAAUUGUGGUAAGUGAGGGCAUUAUGAAGUGAUAUGAGACUAACUGGUGCAUUCUGGGUAAAUUUGUGUGAAUAUACUGGAAUUUACCUGGAAGCUGGAUCCAGGCAGUUCAAAAAGACAUGGAUAUCAACUCUAUUCUUUUUUCCCCAAUACAACUGAUUUCUUAACCUCAUCUCCUAAUUGUUUGUUAGGCAGUAUCUGGAGGCUUUACAUAGCUAAACCAGAAUGUGAAGGGUAGAUACAUGAUGUAAUUUCUCACCUCUGAAAGAGGUAUUUAAGACAACAAUCUCAUUUUAAGGGUGUAUUUUAUUACAGCAUUGUUAGCACUGUAUUUAUUUGUGGCAUAGCAUUUGCUGUAGCAUCAUACCUGGCUCUUACUCACUUGUGAUAUAGAUUCUUUUCAAAUCUAAUACUCAUAGUUUAAUCUCUGUGGUUUAUUUUGAUUUUGACUAGCUGAAAUGCAGGCGAGGAUUCACCUUUAACUAUGCUGAUCUAAGAUAACAAGCUGUGCAUGCAGUUAGACUUUCACAUGGUUUUUAUAGUUGUAUGUUCAGGAUUCACAGUGAAACAUCUGUGUGGUUCACUGCUGAGAGAAUUUGGUUUCUGACUGUCCCUCUAAAGUCAGCACUUCUGUCCCUUCCAUUAGUGUCUCAGUGCUAUCAGCUAAACAAAAUACAGGCUAGAGAGAGACUUGGCUGUUGAGUAACACACCCCUUCUGUAGUUCCACAUUCUCCCUUAAAAUAAAUGUUCAGUAUUAAUCAUGUUCAAUAGUAAAAUUGUGUCUUGCUUCAGACAUCUUUGCAUGUUGUGCGCAGACACCAUCAGUACCUUAUUCUGCCUGCUCAGGAGUUUGUUAGGCUCCGAUCCCUGACUGAAUGCCAAAAAAAAAUGGAAAUUCUAGUGCAGACAGCAGUAACUUACAGGAAGCUAUUACAAUUCUCCUUGUGUAGCUUGCCUUUCUAUUUCUUAACCUUCCCUCCUCCCCCGCCUCAUUUUUCUUGGAAUUACUUAAACGAGAGAUCAGCUUUUGAAGGUGAAUGUCCCUGAAGGUGCUGCCACCAUUAGCUAAUGUAAUUUGGAAAAAGGGAGGCUGAUUUACAGGGAGUGCAGUAUGUCCUAGUAUUUGUGUCUUUCCUCGUUAUUGUUCUUGUGCAUGUCUGGUUAGGAAUUGCAGGUGGCAAAUGCAGCAGGGAAAAGUGGAUAUCAGUAAGGGUAACUAGAAGAGGCAAAAAGAAGAGUAGCUGAACCUCACAUGAACUGGAAUACUGAAAUGUACUUCAUGUUCCUGUCUUGGAUUUGCGAGAUCUCCAGUGUUUAGAGAUGCAGAAUGCAAGCCUCUAGCCUAACUUGAAGGUGUCAGCUUGUUUUUCUUCUUCUCUACUAGUAGUCCAGCUCAAAGGAUUGCUUGUUUCCUGUCUUUUCAGAGAAAAUGGAACUAGAGAAACACCCCGCUUACCAAAAUGUUUCAGAACUUCCAGAUAAAGUGUUUGAAUUUGAACCUUAGAUGGAAAUUUACUUCUAAAGAGCGCCAAAAGAAAUCUUUUUUUUACAUGAAAAUGUCUUCUCAUACUCUUUAUAUUGGACUUUAAGAAUAUACUGUUUUAAAAAUAACAAAAAUAAUUAUAGAAUUGGACAUACCAGAAUAUAUUGUCUGCAGAUGCAGGAAAUUCUAGUAACCAUAUUGAGAAUAUUCUGAUAUAGGUCUGGUGAUGUUAGCUCAAGUUAACAGAAUUUCUAAUGUCUUGUUAACUUCCUUGAAUAGGCAGAGGCAAGGGGAGUGGUUUUUAUGUCUAUAGCUAGGAGGUUGAAUAUAUUUUAAUCCAAAUCAAUGUCCUGUGCAAAAAAAAAAAAAAAAAUUAUUUCCAACAUCUUUGGUUUGGCCUUCCUGUAUAUGGUCAGAGAACUCAAACCUGUGGAAGGAAACUGAUCCUUCAUAUGUCCUCCAGUGCAAAAGGGAGAUUGUUGGUGCCUGAAGAGCCCUGAUACAGUGGUAAAAUGGCUUAUUCAGGAACUGCUUUAUGACAAGGAUCUGAGUACUUUAUGUCCCCAGUGUUUGAUGUCUAACUCUUCAGUUUUCUGCGUCUACCUUGUCCCUCCUGCCGUGCUGAGACCUGUUUGUACCCCAGCCCUUGAAAUGUUCCUGUGCCUUCUGUGUUGCCUGCCUUUUUCAGCUGAGGAUGUAAGCGCUCCAGAACCUGCCAGAUGAGUUGAGGACUUCCAGAACUACCCUAGGGAAGAAACUUUUGGGAACAAGGGGAUUUUCCACCACCAACUAGGAGGCUGUGGGAACGAUGCCACCAUUUUGGAAGCAGCAGUUUCAGUGUCUUCUUGGAAGAAACAGCAGGAGCAAUACAGAUCCAGCUGUAAUGUAAUGGAGACAGAUGAGGGGCUGAGAGUUAAGUGAUGCGAGUUUGAAGCAUCAAGAAAAGUUUCCAUAGUUGCAAAAGAAUUUGAGAAGAGAUGACUGAGAAGGGGCUUCAUCACAGCGUGUAAGUAUCUAAGGGGGGAAGGGUGCCAAGAGGAUGGACCAGGCUCUUCUUGGUGUUGCCAAGCAAUAGGACAAGAGG